AUAGUCAAAUUAACGAGAUUUAUCUAGAAAAACCACAGCCAAGGGACAGAACUUGGAAUUAUUUGCUGGUAAAGAAGACCCUGUUGAGCUUGACUCUAGUCUGACAGUUUAAGAAGUCAUAAGAGGCCUGCUAUCUACAAGGAAUACUACUCUUAUUGUCUUUUUAUAAAAUAUAAAUAUAAAUAUAAAAUAUUCAUUAUAUUUAUAUUGCAUUAUAAUAUAUCGAAUUUUGUUUUAAUACAAGUUUUUUGAUCCAAAGAGGUGUAAGGAAAGUUACCACAGGGAUAAUAGGCUUCUGGCGACUAAGCUUUCAUAGCGACGUCGCUUUUUAAUCACUUGAUGUCGACUCUUUCUAUAAUUCUGAAGCAAAAUUCAACAAGAGCUGCAUUGUUCACCCAUACAAGGGAACGUAAGCUGAACUUAGAUUGUCGUGACAUUUUUCCUGCGUAGUGGCGAACAGUGGCGC
rnacentral:ncRNA from 1 species